rnacentral:rRNA from 1 species
GCGAACCGGGGGAACUGAAACAUCUAAGUACCCCGAGGAAAAGAAAUCAACCGAGAUUCCCCCAGUAGCGGCGAGCGAACGGGGAGGAGCCCAGAGCCUGAAUCAGUGUGUGUGUUAGUGGAAGCGUCUGGAAAGGCGUGCGAUACAGGGUGACAGCCCCGUACACAAAAAUGCACAUAUUGUGAGCUCGAUGAGUAGGGCGGGACACGUGGUAUCCUGUCUGAAUAUGGGGGGACCAUCCUCCAAGGCUAAAUACUCCUGACUGACCGAUAGUGAACCAGUACCGUGAGGGAAAGGCGAAAAGAACCCCGGCGAGGGGAGUGAAAAAGAACCUGAAACCGUGUACGUACAAGCAGUGGGAGCCUCUUAAUGGGGUGACUGCGUACCUUUUGUAUAAUGGGUCAGCGACUUAUAUUCUGUAGCAAGGUUAACCGAAUAGGGGAGCCGAAGGGAAACCGAGUCUUAACUGGGCGUUAAGUUGCAGGGUAUAGACCCGAAACCCGGUGAUCUAGCCAUGGGCAGGUUGAAGGUUGGGUAACACUAACUGGAGGACCGAACCGACUAAUGUUGAAAAAUUAGCGGAUGACUUGUGGCUGGGGGUGAAAGGCCAAUCAAACCGGGAGAUAGCUGGUUCUCCCCGAAAGCUAUUUAGGUAGCGCCUCGUGAAUUCAUCUCCGGGGGUAGAGCACUGUUUCGGCAAGGGGGUCAUCCCGACUUACCAACCCGAUGCAAACUGCGAAUACCGGAGAAUGUUAUCACGGGAGACACACGGCGGGUGCUAACGUCCGUCGUGAAGAGGGAAACAACCCAGACCGCCAGCUAAGGUCCCAAAGUCAUGGUUAAGUGGGAAACGAUGUGGGAAGGCCCAGACAGCCAGGAUGUUGGCUUAGAAGCAGCCAUCAUUUAAAGAAAGCGUAAUAGCUCACUGGUCGAGUCGGCCUGCGCGGAAGAUGUAACGGGGCUAAACCAUGCACCGAAGCUGCGGCAGCGACGCUUAUGCGUUGUUGGGUAGGGGAGCGUUCUGUAAGCCUGUGAAGGUGGCCUGUGAGGGUUGCUGGAGGUAUCAGAAGUGCGAAUGCUGACAUAAGUAACGAUAAAGCGGGUGAAAAGCCCGCUCGCCGGAAGACCAAGGGUUCCUGUCCAACGUUAAUCGGGGCAGGGUGAGUCGACCCCUAAGGCGAGGCCGAAAGGCGUAGUCGAUGGGAAACAGGUUAAUAUUCCUGUACUUGGUGUUACUGCGAAGGGGGGACGGAGAAGGCUAUGUUGGCCGGGCGACGGUUGUCCCGGUUUAAGCGUGUAGGCUGGUUUUCCAGGCAAAUCCGGAAAAUCAAGGCUGAGGCGUGAUGACGAGGCACUACGGUGCUGAAGCGACAAAUGCCCUGCUUCCAGGAAAAGCCUCUAAGCAUCAGGUAACAUCAAAUCGUACCCCAAACCGACACAGGUGGUCAGGUAGAGAAUACCAAGGCGCUUGAGAGAACUCGGGUGAAGGAACUAGGCAAAAUGGUGCCGUAACUUCGGGAGAAGGCACGCUGAUAUGUAGGUGAAGCGACUUGCUCGUGGAGCUGAAAUCAGUCGAAGAUACCAGCUGGCUGCAACUGUUUAUUAAAAACACAGCACUGUGCAAACACGAAAGUGGACGUAUACGGUGUGACGCCUGCCCGGUGCCGGAAGGUUAAUUGAUGGGGUUAGCGGUAACGCGAAGCUCUUGAUCGAAGCCCCGGUAAACGGCGGCCGUAACUAUAACGGUCCUAAGGUAGCGAAAUUCCUUGUCGGGUAAGUUCCGACCUGCACGAAUGGCGUAAUGAUGGCCAGGCUGUCUCCACCCGAGACUCAGUGAAAUUGAACUCGCUGUGAAGAUGCAGUGUACCCGCGGCAAGACGGAAAGACCCCGUGAACCUUUACUAUAGCUUGACACUGAACAUUGAGCCUUGAUGUGUAGGAUAGGUGGGAGGCUUUGAAGUGUGGACGCCAGUCUGCAUGGAGCCGACCUUGAAAUACCACCCUUUAAUGUUUGAUGUUCUAACGUGGGCCCCUUACCGGGGUUGCGGACAGUGUCUGGUGGGUAGUUUGACUGGGGCGGUCUCCUCCUAAAGAGUAACGGAGGAGCACGAAGGUUGGCUAAUCCUGGUCGGACAUCAGGAGGUUAGUGCAAUGGCAUAAGCCAGCUUGACUGCGAGCGUGACGGCGCGAGCAGGUGCGAAAGCAGGUCAUAGUGAUCCGGUGGUUCUGAAUGGAAGGGCCAUCGCUCAACGGAUAAAAGGUACUCCGGGGAUAACAGGCUGAUACCGCCCAAGAGUUCAUAUCGACGGCGGUGUUUGGCACCUCGAUGUCGGCUCAUCACAUCCUGGGGCUGAAGUAGGUCCCAAGGGUAUGGCUGUUCGCCAUUUAAAGUGGUACGCGAGCUGGGUUUAGAACGUCGUGAGACAGUUCGGUCCCUAUCUGCCGUGGGCGCUGGAGAACUGAGGGGGGCUGCUCCUAGUACGAGAGGACCGGAGUGGACGCAUCACUGGUGUUCGGGUUGUCAUGCCAAUGGCACUGCCCGGUAGCUAAAUGCGGAAGAGAUAAGUGCUGAAAGCAUCUAAGCACGAAACUUGCCCCGAGAUGAGUUCUCCCUGAGACUUAGAGUCUCCUGAAGGAACGUUGAAGACGACGACGUUGAUAGGCCGGGUGUGUAAGCGCAGCGAUGCGUUGAGCUAACCGGUACUAAUGAACCGUGAGGCUUAACCUU